UUUAUAUUUUAAAUAGGCAUUUUUUGUUUUCCCCCCUUUCAGGUAGCAAACUCGCUCCAAAGAUUCCCAUUUCCGAAUUGCUCCGCAGCGCAAACUCGCUCGAAAGAUUCUCAUUUCCGAAUUGCUCCGCAGCUCCGGCUCCGAUCUUCCUCGUCGGCGUUUUCUUCAGGUUUUAGGUAGAUCAUGGUGGAUAUUGAUUUGUUUGUUAUUGAAGAUAGCACAUCUGAGAUGCUGGAAAAUUUUAUCGUGGGUACUAGGAAUGCAUGGGGAGAGAAAGUACACGAAGAUUAUGAAGUUAGAGUUCUCCCUGAUGUCGAUGAAACUAAGAUUAAUAGCUUUCAGUUUGUGGACAAGGAAGGUAGUGAGCCUAUUCAUUUGGUUUUUUGCCACAAAAAUGGUUAUUACAUCGCAUGGGGUAAACAAGACAAAAUGAUUAUAUUUAAUGACUAUAAAAAAUGGUUUAAAGUACAAGAGGAUGAUGAUAUUGAUAAUGAUAAAUUAGACCGUAAGACUGUAAAGAGAAAUGAUAAAAGAAGGCAGAAGUCGAAGCAGCCACAACCAGUAGCAAUCAUAACCCACAGAUCUAGCUCAGGGGUAGAAUUUCACCUUUCCACAGCUCAGGAGUGUGGAUUGGAUUCAGGUUAUAUGUGUCUUGAAUCUGAAGGAGGUGACAGACACACUAUUCAGGUAGGUCAACGUGCACUAUUACAUGCUUUUUAUGCAUUUCGGAAGCCAUUUGCCCCGGGUAAAGAUUACAAAAAGAAUACUAGCAAAGCGGCCAUGGCAAUUAUUCAUACCUUUUCCGAGUCAAUUAAAGAUGAUAGGAUAUUUCAGGAAGUGUUACGUCUACAUUUUUCUGGUGGUUUUCUUAGUAGAACGUUGGUUGAAAUGGAGAAUAUGUGGGGUCAUAAUUCGGAGCGAGCACACAGUUUGUUAUCUUGUGUUGGAAAGAUCGGUAAGGAUGGGAGCAUAAUUGAGUUUAAUGAGGAGGAGCAAGAAUUUAUUGGACAUAUGAGAAUUAUUAUGAAAAAAAAGUAGAAAGGGGAUGGCGAAGAAGGAGAAGGGAAGCCGGAUAAUGAUGUAAAGCAUUUAAGUUACUGAUAUAGCAGGAGAGGUAGUUGAGCUCAAAUUGGAAAUCACAAAAUUCAAAACUAGUGACAAAGUUGUUGCAAAGCUUUGGGAUGUGGUAUGCUUUGGGAUGUGAGAUAUGAAAAAUGGCUACUUCUGCUGCUUAGUUAAUGAAGGCUGUUUGGUAUGAUACUUAUGGUGGUGGUGCUUCUGCUCAAAAGAGAUAUGAAAUAUGGCUACUUCUGCUGCUAAGUUAAUGAAGGCUGUUUGGUAUGGUACUUAUGGUGGUGGUGCUUCUGCUCAAAAGCAUGUUGAAGCCCCUGUUCCUAUUCCAAUUAAAGAUGAGGUUUUAAUACAAAGUGGAGGUAUCAACAGUAAAUCAAAUUGAUUGCAAGAUACAGAGUGGAAUGUUACGUCCAGACAGUCCUGCAACUUUCCUUUCUUUCCUCAUAAGUUGAACUGCUUGUGUGUGCGCUAUAUCUUCCCCCUUCGUCUUGUCCUGCCAUUGCACAAAUCUUUAUUAAAGAACAGUUACUGAUAUAGCAGGAGAGGUAGUUGAGGUUGGACCGGAAGUCGCAAAAUUGAAAGCUGGUGAUAAAGUUGUUGCUAAGCUUAGCAAUGUGGGCUUUUCUUGGAUCCUGCUACCUUUCAAUUUUGAGGAAAAUUAAACGAUAAUGUACUUGGGUGCUGGUGGACAAGCCGAGUAGCUGUGGCAAAAGAAACUUUGACUGUUGCAAGGCCACCUGAAAAUUCAGCUGCUGCUUUACCUGUUGCUUGUCUUACAGCUGCGUCAGGAGGUCAAGGCGGUGAAUGAUGCUGUACUCAUCUGAUAGAAGGCGUUGGCACUUCUAAUGUUUUGGGGCUUGAAAAUUUUAUGAAACAAGUUGUCCAAGGGCGGACUUUCAUAUGCAGUAGUAUCUAUCAUGGGCCCACAAAGUAGUGGUACACACAGGAUCUCACGGUAUUAAUAACAGGUCCCAAACUACGAAAGCAUAUGGAUGGGAAAUUGUGCUGGAAUUGAGCCUUGUACCAUCACAAUGGAUAUGGAGGCUACGGAUGGAAGAGAACAGGGAGAGGAUGAUACUGCAUUUGAAAAGAAGAGUACUCUCUUUGCCCUUGUGUUUCAGAUAUUGUGCUGAUAAAUAUGUUGCAAAUGCAUAAAAGGUUCAACAUAACUUAUGAUGACCAUUUACAGUUCAUGAUGCAAUUAGUCAGUCCUCGUACAACAACUUUAAUGUUUGUCAUACGUGAUAAGACACGGAGUUUUAAUGUUUCAAUGCUUGAAGCUUCUGGAAAAUUUGGCUCCUGUUUUAAGGGAAGAUAUACAGAAGUUAAGAUAUGCGAUUCUGUUCCCAAGCAACAAGCCCACAAGGAAACCUUACUAUGUGAGUUUGUAAAUGUUGAAUUUGUGGGUUUUUCUAGUUACGAAGAGAAGGAAGAUCCAUUUGUAGAUCAGAUGGAGCAGCUCUAAAAAGUCCCUCAGGCUAGAAAUAUGAUGCUGUAAUCCACUGCGCAGCAGGUAUUCCAUGGUCUACUUUUGAGCCUCAGUUGAGCCCCAGGGGAAGGGUGCUGGUGGACAAGCCGAGUAUGCUGUGGAAAAAGAAACUUUGACUGUUGCAAGGCCACCUGAAAAUUCAGCUGCUGCUUUACCUAUUGCUUGUCUUACAGCUCUCUAGGCUCUUACUGAAACUGUAGGACUGAAGAUGGACAGAAGUGGACCAAAGGCUUAUGUCCCUGUAACUGCUGCGUCAGGAGGUGUGGGUCACUAUGCUUUACAAUUGGUCAUUGUUAAAAAAGCAUGUUUAGAUUCCUUUCUGCUGUGCCAAAGAAAGAUGAAGUGUUGCUAAAGGUGAAAGCAGCAAGAAUUAAUCCAUUUGAUUGGUAGAUGCAGAAAGGGAUGCUGCGCCCUUUUUUACCACUCCGAAUUCCUAAAAUACCGUUAGCUGAUGUAGCAGUAGAGGUGGUUGAGACCGGAAGCGAAGUAAAACACUUAAAAGCAGGUGACAAAUUCGUGGCAAUGCUUUGCAUCUUUGGAAGUGGUGGUGGGUUAGCUUAGUAUGCUGUGGACAAUGAAAAGUUAACAGUUUCUAGGCCAUCUGAAGUAUCAGCUGCUAAAGGUGCUGGCUUACCUGUAGUAGGUCUUACUGCUCACCAGACUCUCACCCAAUCUGCCGGAGUUAAGCUUGAUGCAAGUGGUCAGUGAUCAGAUAUACUUAUUACUGCUGCUUUAGGAGGUGUAGGCUUGUAUGCAGUGCAACUUGCAAAGCUUGGGAACACACACGUGACGGCCACUUGUGGUGCCCCUGUAACAUUAGUCUAGUGAAGAGUAUGGGUGCUGAUUAGGUUCUUGACCACCCAGCGCCAGAUGGAGCAGCUCUAAAAAAUCCCUCAGGCUAGAAAUAUGAUGCUGUAAUCCACUGCGCAGCAGGUAUUCCAUGGUCUAGUUUUGAGCCUCAGUUGAGCCCCAGGGGAAGGGUAAUUGAUAUUAUGCCAGGUCCUGAUACCACAUGGAAAUUAGUAAGUGGGAAACUCACAUUCUCUGGGAAGCAGAUAGUGCCUUUAGUUUUAAUCCCAAAACGGGAAACCUGGCUCACCUUGUUAAGUUGGUGAAGGAAGGGAAGGUUAAAACAGUGGUAGACUCUAAUUAUCCAUUAAGCAAAGUUGGAGAUGCUUGGGCUAAGAGCAUCGAUGGCCAUGCUACUGGUAAAAUUUAAGAUCUUAGAUUGUUUUUCCUGUAGAAACUAUGUGCAUAGAGUUGUCCAUGACAAAGAACCGUUUCUUUUCUUUAGAGUACGUACAUGCGAAUUAAGCUAUACACUGCUGAAACAAAUGAUAAUUUUUUUUUUCA